rnacentral:lncRNA from 13 species
AUUUACAGUCAAGCAUCUAACAGAAAAUUUGUCUACUUACAGCCGAGCAUCCAGCAGAAAAUUUGUCCAGCUUUUCAUGAGAUUUCACAAAGAGCACCACGACAUCCAGGUGUCCCACCACAGGAACAAGACUGAUAAUCAACUACUUGGAAAUAAUGGAAACCAGAACUCUAAGGAACCCACAGAAGGUCAGUUCUCAAAUCACCAGCCACUGGGGAGCAAAUGAGCCAACCUCAAAAUUCACAAGCAGUUACAGUGCUGUGUGUCUCCCAUGUGUACUGGACACUGUGUCGUAUGGGGCUCCUCAUGUUGGGAAGGAGAAGGGACAUCUGAAACUGAAGGAAAGGAAGAUUUUCAAACUCGAGGCUUUUGAUAUUUUUAAAAGUACAAGUGUGAAGAGACAGAAAGUCAUCACAGUGAUAGAAAUGCCUAUCAUGGAGUCACACCACUGGCACCAGGCCAGAGUUUUCAUCUUGGACCUUUUGUAG